rnacentral:rRNA from 1 species
GAGUUUGAUCGUGGCUCAGAUUGAACGCUGGCGGCAUGCCUUACACAUGCAAGUCGAACGGUAACAGGUCUUCGGAUGCUGACGCGUGGCGAACGGGUGAGUAAUACAUCGGAACGUGCCCAGACGUGGGGGGAUAACGAGGCGAAAGCUUUGCUAAUACCGCAUACGAUCUAAGGAUGAAAGCAGGGGACCGCAAGGCCUUGCGCGUUUGGAGCGGCCGAUGGCAGAUUAGGUAGUUGGUGGGAUAAAAGCUUACCAAGCCGACGAUCCGUAGCUGGUCUGAGAGGACGACCAGCCACACUGGGACUGAGACACGGCCCAGACUCCUACGGGAGGCAGCAGUGGGGAAUUUUGGACAAUGGGCGAAAGCCUGAUCCAGCAAUGCCGCGUGCAGGAUGAAGGCCU